UGCGGAAAAAUAAACAUUUCUCCUGUUGACCAGCAAGUAUAUUGGGGUCAUAGUCCCCUCCAUUGAGAUCCAAUCAUCUCUUAUGGUGCAAUAAUUAGGACACAGGGACCAAGAAGCUUGCCCUAGAUUUGUCCAUUUGUCCCGGCAAGAUUUUCUAACAUUUUUAUUUCAGCUCAUAGCUGGAGACUUGUAUGGCCUCGUAAUUAAGAUUCCUAUCACUUUCUCAUUCCAGAUUAUUUUUCCAACCUGCAAAGGCCACAAUCACGAAACCUGCAUCCUUUCAGUCAGUACCCUCCACCCAUUAACUUCUAUAAUUUUCAUGUCAAGAAUAUAGAAAGUCUAGUAGUCUAGUUUCAGUAGCACUGACAUCAGUGACAAUGGGGAUGUGUGAGAAGGAAACUUUCAUGUUUCGUGAGGAUGAUAAAAUGCCAACCGGAACAUCUCACCGGAUGUGUAAACAUCCAACCGUGUAAUGAUGACGGUUUCGUAGAAGUACUGGCAGGACAAAAGACUCUGAUUACAUGCAGGGCUGAAGGACGAGUGGUGUGGAGACUUACAGUUGGAUUACAUAAUUUUAGCCAGUAUUUCCCGUUGGCAGAAUGUACAGAACACGUUUGUAAUAGUUCGGGAUACUUUACCGAAAUAUUUCAAGCGAAAGUUCUAGACCCUCACAAUAAAACGAUUACCAUUAACGCUGAGAACACAUCCAUCAGUAGUAACAUUCUACUUGUCAACAGUAUUCUGGAAUGUGUUCAUAAUGCUGGAACUUACAACGCAGAAUCAUCUACCUGUGCGAUCAACUAUGUUUUUCCAUCAGAAAACGUGUCAUGCAACGCAGUCACAACCUCUUGGAAUGUCCACGUGUCAUGUGUCAUCGGCAGUGUGUUCUCUUCCAGUAAAAUGUACAAGUGUCACCUUUAUCGUCUUAAAAGCGAGAUGGAGAGCUUGCAGUCUGUGACCAUGGUUACGUCACCAACCAGAGAGAGCGUCACGACAGGUGAAGUGAAGGCGUCAGGCUCCUGUCAGUUCAUCUUAACACUUUCAGAAGAAGCAAACUUCUUUGUGGCUGUCUCACCAGGCGACCGUAACUACUCUGUCAAAUUUCCAGCUCAUGACAAAAAGAUAGAUGAAACUAAAGCGUGGAAGGUUUCCUAAUUUCCGUGUUUAAAGCGACAUAAGUACUUGCCUGCUGAUCAAGAUCAUAAACCAAUUUAAGUUUCGUUCGCUACGAUUGGUGGAUUCGUAAGUCCUGUGCUAAAUAAUACAGGACUUACAUGUCCAAAAAAAGGGAAACAUUUCUAGAGAGCAGCAAAGAAUGUGUUGACACAGUCCUCCCAAGAUGCUCUCUACACAAGUCACGGCCCUGAGCUUCAGGGAUAGGUCAAUGUAGUUCUACAUUUUAACUGCGAGACUGUGACAGCUGGAAGCUCUCAAGAUUCACUGUCUGAGAACCAUUGUAACAGCUGGAAGCGAGAAUGAACAUCACCAACAAGCUGAGUGAAAACUCGUACUUAGCUGCUGAUGACAAAUUGAGGUGCCUACAAAGAGCUGGUCACGUGACAUCAGUACCAAGGAGAGGCAUUAUACCAGGUUGUCAGAGGUUUUUUGACAUGAUGGCUCGGAAUGAUCAAGUUUCGAAGCACAAGAGCAGAACUAAACGUUGGUAUCCUACCCUGUAACACACCAAAGCUGUGACUGGUUUGUAUGCCCAACAAUAAACGGCAGUAAAGAAGUUGGACGUUUAGAUAUCAUGGAUCUGUGAUGAUGUAGAACUCUGUUGCACUCAGUAAAAGACUCACGUAGAAGGAAAAACAAUUAGUACUGUGGUCUGACUAUGUGAGGCAAUGCCAAUGAAAACAUUAUAAACUUUAUCCAUGACAAAUGAAACGCUCACACAUAUUUCCAUUUUACACAAAUUUUGUUCAGAGUUAAAUAAUUUUUUAUGUCAAAAGUGUACAGCAACAAGCAAAAAACACAAAAACAACAACAAUAAAAACAACAAAACAAACAAUUAAACAGUCUCUAUAUAUACAUAUUUUUUCAUUGUUCACAACCUUUGAUUAGACUGAGAUGUCAUGAUAUUUUAUGAAUCUAUUUCAAAAACUGUUAUUUUAAAUAAUUGCGGAAUUUUUGUUAAUUUAUCCCUUCGAUUGUAACGGGUUUUCUUGGCUUCAAUGGCCGUCGUGUGAAGGUAAAAGUACGCUACAUCCUUAAAUCAUAAUAACUAUUGUAAACGUUUAAACUGUGGCUUGCUAAUUACUAAUGAAUAUUAAGCAGCACUUCGUGAACUUCAAGGAAGUUAAAGUGGGUUUAUUGUUUCGAGAAAGUGCUCAUUUUGAAAUAAUUGAAAUCUGACUCCUGGUAAAUAGGCGUAAGUGCUUAUGAGAGUUGAACAGGCGGAAGACUCUACUCGUCAAUAAACGACAUUACAUGAACUUAAACUGUUAUUCAGAAGCUCAUCACACAUAGAGAUGAACCUGUUUUUUUAGGAACCCUUCUUUAUGACAAGGCUUAAGUUAGCUUGAAAGGGAAGUUAACUUAUUGUCCAUUGUUUCGGUUUCAAGAACAAGGUUUGUCGAUAUUCUGUGAACUAUAAACUAUAAAUUCUAUAAACUAUAUUGCUCCACAUAAGUAUCAUCGGGGGAAGAGGGCUGAUUUCUCCUGAUAAUUUUAGUCGAUUGUGAAAUUUUACGGUGGACAUCAAUAUUCCUUAACAAACUUCAGUAUAUGAGUUUGAUUAUCUUCCUCAUUAGAUUGUUGGAUGGUAUUACUGGGUUACUAAUUUGCUUCUCAGUUUUUGAGGUUUGCAGCACGCCAUGACCUCUAUACAGGAUCCAAGUUUUCCUAAUAUUUCGCUAAGAUUUUCGAGGUAUCACAUUACUGAGCGAUGUAUGUAGUUCCUUUUCUUUUGAUUUUCUAUAAGCAAAACUCAAGCGCAAGCUAUACGUCAUUUUAACAUUGGGAGUUAUUGUGUCCUACCCGUAUUAGAUGGAAUAAGGAUGGAGAUGUUCUUACAUAUGAGUAAGAAUAUAAAAAAAACUACUCUUCUCAUAAGUAAAAACAGAAGUGGACUAUUGUUCUUACAUUUCUGAUCUUUUAAUGGGCAUUUUGCAUCGCGAAAGAAGCCACGAAGUUCUGUGGAGCAUUGGCUGUAUGCUCGUCAUCAUAAUAAAUCCUCAUCGUCAAACUUUUUCCUUCCUUUUCUGAGCUAAAUUAUAAGAAGAUAUUAUCAGUGUCUUUCGUGGUCUUAUUCUAAACCUGUUUAGAGAUAUGUUCACAGAUAAACCCUUUCCUUGAAAAGGCUUAGCCCAUCUAAGACGGAUGAGCAAACUCUUACAGUUGAUCUUAAGGAGUUUACCCGCCAGUCCAUUCGUUGAUCACGUGACAAACAGUUUCUGAGCUGGUGUCCUUCAGUUAAGUUUUAUUAUGUAUCUUCCAAUAAAAUGUCAACCACAGAU